rnacentral:SRP_RNA from 2 species
GCCGGGCGUGGUGGUGCAUGCCUGUAAUCCCAGCUACUCGGGAGGCUGAGGCAGGAAAAUCGCUUGAACCCAGGAGGUGGCGGUUGCAGUGAGCACUGCACGCCAGCCUGGGUGACAGAGCAAGACUCUGCCUCAA